UUUUCUGGCUGGAAACACGGAGCGUAUAGAAGAGAAGAAGGUGGUUCCUGCUGUGCCAGAAACCCUUAAGAAAAAGCAAAAGAAUUUCACAGAACUGAAGAUCAAGCGCCUAAGAAAGAAGUUCGCCCAAAACAUGCUUUGAAAGGCAAGGAGGAAGCUUAUCUAUGAAAAAGCAAAGCACUAUCACAAGGAAUAUAGGCAGAUGUACAGAACUGAAAUUCGAAUGGCAAGGAUGCCAAGAAAAGCUGGCAACUUCUAUGUACCUGCAGAACCCAAAUUGGCCUUUGUCAUCAGAAUCAGAGGUAUCAGUGGUGUGAGCCCAGAGGUCCGAAAGGUGUUGCAGCUUCUUUGCCUUUGUCAAAUCUUCAAUGGAACAUUUGUGAAGCUCAACAAGGCUUCAGUUAACACGCUGAGGACUGCAGAAUCGUAUAUUACAUGGGGGAACCCAAAUCUGAAGUCAGUAAAGGAACUAAUCUACAAGCGUGGUUAUGGCAAAAUCAAUAAGCAAAUUGCUUUGACAGAUAAUGCUUUGAUUGUUCCAUCUCUUGGUAAAUAUGGCAUCAUCUGCAUGGAGGAUCUGAUUCAUGAGAUCUAUACUAUUGGCAAAUGCUUCAAAGAAGCCAAUAACUUCCUGUGGCCCUUCAAAUUAUCUUCUCCACGAGGCGGAAUGAAGAAAACCUUGAGUAUCUACAAUAUAAGCUGCUCCAAAGUGCUUGAAACAUCUGAGCACACUUUCCAAAAUAGGUAGUGUUCUGUUGCCCAUCAUGACAAUCUCUCAGUAACUCUGAAACAUACUCAUUCAAGCAGCCCCCAUUUACAAACAUCCACCAACCGUACCUCUGCCAGCCCUUCUACAGGAAAAAACACUUAGGACAUGCCAAGGAUUAUGCCAAGUACUUUGCAUCUAGUGUCUCAUUUGCUCCUUACUACACCCUAUGAGUCUAAUAUCUCCAAAUAAAUAGCAAUCUAUGGUAACAAAGGCAAUAUUCUUAUAGGAAACAUGUUUUUAGUACCUGGCACCUAUGGGAAAACCUCUCUGAUGGAAGAAUUUAAGAGGAGGGUGGAAGGGAGAAAAUUCCAUUUCUUCCAGAGUUCCUAAACUAUACCAAAGUCAAACUUAUGCUACCCAGUUAGUUUUGCUCGAUGAUCCUCUCUGCACUGACAGGUGAAAGAACACGCAGAACAUGCAUGGCUUAUUAUUCUGAAAAGUCCAAAAUACUGUGCUUAUUCCUAUAGCAACUAGGAAGCUAAAUAGAGACCCAGUGUUAACUCCACACAGACUUCCUCAGAGAAGCCCUUCCUUUGCAGUUUUAUCUUCUUUCUCAUACCAAAUCUUUAGUUCAGAAUCCCUUUCACUUAAAAAAAAAAAACAUUAUCAUCUAGUUACAUAUGCAAGGCACUAAAGAAACAACAACAAUAAAGUAAAUAUGGAAAAAUAUUUCAUUCUAAGAAGUCAUAACAGAAUUUUCAGCACUUGACUGUAGUAUGGGAACUGUCCCCAAAUAACUGUUUUAAGAUUGCAAAAAAUAAAGAUCAAUUCAAUAUAAUAAUAGUUAAACCUUAACACAGUUCUUAAUGUAUACGGCAGACACUAAUCUAGAAUAACCCAUUUAACCUUCACAACAGCCAUUCAAGGGCCACUAUUAUCCCCAUUUUACAGACAGCAAAAAGAUACAGAGGCUAAGUAACCUGCCAGUGAAGUAGUAGGGACAGGAUUUGCCUUGCGUGUCUGUGUUCUUAUACACUACAUACUGCUACUCUUCAAAUGGGGAAAAAAGAAAAAAGAAAAAAAAAUUGACUAUCACCCAGAAGGCGGUCAUACGAUGAUGAAUUUUGACUUUGCUUUUUAUUUCUAAUCCUUCGGCAUAAAAGAAACACUUCCUUUGCAGUUUCAUAUUCUUGUACUAAAGCAUAGCUUAGGAACAUUUUCAUUUAAAAAAAGAAAAAAAAUACUCCCAGUAUCAUCUAGUAGUUAUAAGAGAUACGGAAGGCAUUAAACUACAUUAUUCCUAUAAUCCUUACAAGAGAAAUUCGGGUUCAGAGAAGAGCUUCUGAAAAUGAUAAACAGUAAAGUAAUAAUUCAGAAAAGUUCAAGUUUCAUCUUAAUCUUUAUCUCAUUGAGGGACAUAUUUUAAAAGUAAGAACACUAACAAAGUGAGAGAUAAUGUAACUUGUACUCAGCAUAAGGCUGUAGUUUGUAAAAGCAAGGUUUCUUAAAACCUUGUGAGUCUCUUUUUCCUUAUGCUACAGUAGAUGUUUCA